rnacentral:lncRNA from 1 species
AUGUUAAAAAAAGAGACUAUUAGAUACAGACAUCCUUCAAAACUUAGAUUAAUAAAUCAGCAUAUCCCUUAUGAAGCCACCAUAUAUUACUGUUUUCUAAAAUAUCUAAGAUCUGUCUUUGCCAAACAGCACAACAAGAAAUGUUCACAGCUUCAACCAGUGGAAAUUAAUACCAGCGACAGAAAUCCUAUCACUGGAGCCAUGGAGGAAGACACACACUCCAGGUUGAAGCAGCCGUUGAUGCUACACGGAAAGACAAGCCAAGGAGACCUUGCUCAGGUAAAUCAAACCUGAAAGUAGUGGUAACUGUGCUGGAGUUUAUUUGUGUUGUCCAUUCAUGUAACACUGCAGGAGCUUCAUGCAGCACAUACAGAAAGCAAGGUCUAGAAAGGACCCAAAAGGGCAACCCUGCCCUCAUUUCCAGGGCUGUGCUGUACGGUUUGCUCCUGUUACUUCAUUUGCAUGAGAAAGCAAGAAAGCCAUGUUGAAAGGCUGCACGUGGUAAUUAGUUUGAGGAAAUAGAAGGAGGCAUUUCAGAAAAACUUCACAUUCCUUGCACACAGUGCAGGUCAUCUUGCAUUUACAUUUAUGCUCCUAUGGUUGCAAAAUGUCUCAAGUCUGAGAGACAGGGAUGCUGUCCCAAACAGAUUUUUAUAUCGCUUUUCUUUCAAAAAACAAAAGUGAGUGAAUGUUUUUCUUGACAAACUGUUGACAGUUCUGUAAUUCUGGACAUUAGGAGUGCUAGCAUAAAUCCCAUACAUGCGUUUCUAAAUUAAGAGUCCAAAACAACCUCAUUCCCUGAUCACAAUGUAAAGAAUUAUUCAGGAUUCAGAAAGAAUCCAAUCUUUCAGUGAGUUUCACUUAAUUUAGAAGCUUGUAAUGAAUAGGAAUUUUUAAUCUGUUUGAAAUCUCUUUUCAAACUGAGCUCUAGCUAUAACCGAUCCUUCUGACUAGCUGUGUAUAGUUGGAGUGCCAACAGUUAGAAAUACAAGUGCACAGUGCUCUUCUGUCCUCACAAGAAACUUGAAAUCUCUGUACUCUGGAGCUCAGCCAGAAAUGUUCUUGCGUGCCUUCUCUUCUCCUGACUUCAGCUCUUACAGUAGCCCCCAGCACCACACAGGAAAUCAUCUUGGUUUUCCAUUAGAUUCCAUUUUGAUGUAUCAGGAAGCUGGUAUGUUUUUGAAACAUAUGCAGUGCUGCAUGUAUUUUGUCUGCAUUUCUACUACACGAUAUGUACACAUCAACAUCUUGGAAACUGCUACAGAUAUUUUUUGGAGCUAAGGGAAAGGGGGAG